UAAAUCCGGUAGGUAAGGUUACCAUAGGGAUACGGACUGCUACCGCAAAAUAGUGGAGACACUAUUAGUUGGUCAGCAAACCUCGUCGAAAACAAGGCGAGAUUUAACGCAGUUUCAUUGCCCUACGGUGCUAAAGCCCGAAUGGU
rnacentral:sRNA from 1 species